rnacentral:lncRNA from 1 species
GCUACAAGUGUUCCUGACCUUGUUCAUAGUAGGGUGAUUGAUCUAAAGCUACAACCCAAACCAAUACCGCAACCUGAACCAAAGCCUGCACCACAACCAGACCCAAAGCCAGAACCCAAGCCAACACCGCAGCCUGACCCAAAACCCACACCACAACCAGACCCAAAGCCAGAACCCAAGCCGGCACCACAGCCUGAACCAAAGCCCGCACCACAACCAGAUCCAAAGCCAGAACCUAAACCGACACCGCAACCAAAACCAAAACCUACACCACAACCAGACCCACAACCAGAACCAAAACCCACACCACAACCAGACCCAAAACCGGAACCUAAACCCACACCACAACCAGAUCCAAAGCCCGAGCCAAAACCAACACCACAGCCACCCUCCUCGCAAC